CCUGGAACUCACUAUGUAGCCCAGGCUGGUCUCAAACUCACAGAGAUCCUCCUGCCGCAGCCUCCCAAGUGCUGGGAU
ensembl:miRNA